rnacentral:rRNA from 1 species
GACGAACGCUGGCGGCGUGCUUAACACAUGCAAGUCGAACGGUAAGGCCCUUCGGGGUACACGAGUGGCGAACGGGUGAGUAACACGUGGGUGAUCUGCCCUGCACUUCGGGAUAAGCCUGGGAAACUGGGUCUAAUACCGGAUAGGACCCUGGGAUGCAUGUCCUGGGGUGGAAAGCUUUUGCGGUGUGGGAUGGGCCCGCGGCCUAUCAGCUUGUUGGUGGGGUGAUGGCCUACCAAGGCGACGACGGGUAGCCGGCCUGAGAGGGUGACCGGCCGAACUGGGACUGAGAUACGGCCCAGAGUCAUACGGGAGGCAGCAGUGGGGAAUAUUGCACAAUGGGCGCAUGCCUGAUGCAGCGACGCCGCGUGAGGGAUGGCGGCCUUCGGGUUGUAAACCUCUUUCAGCACCGACGAAGCGCAAGUGACGGUAGGUGCAGAAGAAGGACCGGCCAACUACGUGCCAGCAGCCGCCGUAAUAC